AUUGCUUUGGCCCCUUGAUGAUCAAGUUAGGUCGUCGUGUGGAAAAGCGCUGGGGCAUUCUAUUCAAGUGUUUGACAACCAGAUGUGUCCACCUGGACCUACUGGAGAGUUUGGAUACGGAAGCCUUCCUCAUGGCCCUACGGCGGUUUAUCUCCCGACGGGGGAAACCCUACGAGAAUCUGGCUGACAGAGGUACGAACUUCAAGGCAGGAGAAGCCAGGUUGGAGGAAGCCUUCCAAGCCAUGGAACCCAGCCUCCAGGAUCAGCUGAUGGACCAACAAAUCUCAUUCAAAUUUAACCCUCCAGGCGCUCCUCAUUUUGGAGGAACAUGGGAGCGAGAGAUCAAAUCUGUAAAGACGGCCUUACGAGUCGUACUAGGGUACCAAACUGUCACUGAAACUGUCUUGAGGACCGUCCUGAUAGAGGUGGAAGGGAUUCUGAACUCCAAACCCUUGGGAUAUCUCUCUGCAGACAUCGCUGACCCCGAUCCGGUUACACCGAAUAUGCUCUUGAUGGGACGCCGAGAUGCGUCACUUCCUCAAGCCAUGUAUGCUGAUACCAACCUCGUAGGCAGACGCCGGUGGCGACACAGCCAAAUCUUAGCUGACCAUUUUUGGGCCCGAUUCAUUCGGGAUUACCUACCAAGUCUACAGCACAGAGGGAAAUGGCGGAGAGAAAUGGCCAGCCUGGAAACUGGCCAAGUAGUAAUGAUGGUGGACCCUCAGCUGCCUCGAGCCUCCUGGCCAGUGGGCCGUAUAACUAAGACCAUGCCUGGGAUCGAUGGUCGUGUUAGAUCAGUGGAGAUCCAGGUGAAGAACCGGACAUAUAUCCGGCCAGUUGCCCGACUGAUUCCUCUCCCUGAGAUGACAGAGGACGGGGAGCAAUGAGCCUUUUUUGAGGAGUGUGGAAUUUAACAAAUUUCCGGGGUGGCUGUAGAAAAGGCCCAUGGAGUUGGUGGAAUACUCCUUUAAUUCAUUGCCAUUUACUCAGCUGGGCCAGGGGCGCUUUAAUUAGGUCAGGUGGAAAUGUCAGACAGAUCUCAACUCCAUAAAAGGAAGGAAAUUGCCAUCGCCUGAUCUCGCUGCUUUCUCUUCCUUAACUCCAUCUCACCCAGAAGUUCUGUGCGUCCAUGAAUCCACCACAGACUACCCAGUAAAUAUACCACUUUAUGGUUAAAGGAA